CGGCGCGCCUAACACAUGCAAGUCGAACGGGGUGCGGGGCUUCGGCCGCGCACCCAGUGGCGCACGGGUGAGUAACGCGUGGGCACCUGCCCUGGGCACCGGGACAACCGCGGGAAACUGCGGCUAAUACCGGAUGAUCCCCCGGAUCGAGAGUGAGGGGGGCAAAGCUCCGGCGGCCUGGGAUGGGCCCGCGUCCGAUUAGCUGGUUGGUGGGGUAACGGCCCACCAAGGCUGCGAUCGGUAGCUGGUCUGAGAGGAUGAUCAGCCACACUGGGACUGAGACACGGCCCAGACUCCUACGGGAGGCAGCAGUGGGGAAUCUUGGACAAUGGGGGCAACCCUGAUCCAGCGACGCCGCGUGGGUGAUGAAGGCCUUCGGGUUGUAAAGCCCUUUCACCGGGGACGAUGAUGACGGUACCCGGAGAAGAAGCACCGGCUAACUCCGUGCCAGCCGCCGCAGUAAUAC
rnacentral:rRNA from 1 species